rnacentral:rRNA from 1 species
AAGGGGGGCAACUCCCAAGUAGAGCGGCGAACGGGUGAGUAACGCGUGGGUAAUCUGCCUUCGAGUGGGGAAUAACAUCGGGAAGCUGGUGCUAAUACCGCAUAAUAUCCCAGGGCCUUCGGGUCUUGGGAUCAAAGCUGGGGACCGCAAGGCCUAGCGCUUGAAGAGGAGCCCGCGUCCGAUUAGCUAGUUGGCGGGGUAACGGCCCACCAAGGCUACGAUCGGUAGCCGGCCUGAGAGGGCGGACGGCCACACUGGGACUGAGACACGGCCCAGACUCCUACGGGAGGCAGCAGUGGGGAAUUUUUCGCAAUGGGGGCAACCCUGACGAAGCAACGCCGCGUGGAGGAUGAAGGCCUUCGGG